GACGAACGCUGGCGGCGUGCUUAACACAUGCAAGUCGAACGGAAAGGCCCUGCUUUUGUGGGGUGCUCGAGUGGCGAACGGGUGAGUAACACGUGAGUAACCUGCCCUUGACUUUGGGAUAACUUCAGGAAACUGGGGCUAAUACCGGAUAGGAGCUCCUGCUGCAUGGUGGGGGUUGGAAAGUUUCGGCGGUUGGGGAUGGACUCGCGGCUUAUCAGCUUGUUGGUGGGGUAGUGGCUUACCAAGGCUUUGACGGGUAGCCGGCCUGAGAGGGUGACCGGCCACAUUGGGACUGAGAUACGGCCCAGACUCCUACGGGAGGCAGCAGUGGGGAAUAUUGCACAAUGGGCGGAAGCCUGAUGCAGCAACGCCGCGUGCGGGAUGACGGCCUUCGGGUUGUAAACCGCUUUCGCCUGUGACGAAGCGUGAGUGACGGUAAUGGGUAAAGAAGCACCGGCUAACUACGUGCCAGCAGCCGCGGUGAUACGUAGGGUGCGAGCGUUGUCCGGAUUUAUUGGGCGUAAAGGGCUCGUAGGUGGUUGAUCGCGUCGGAAGUGUAAUCUUGGGGCUUAACCCUGAGCGUGCUUUCGAUACGGGUUGACUUGAGGAAGUUAGGGGAGAAUGGAAUUCCUGGUGGAGCGGUGGAAUGCGCAGAUAUCAGGAGGAACACCAGUGGCGAAGGCGGUUCUCUGGGCCUUUCCUGACGCUGAGGAGCGAAAGCGUGGGGAGCGAACAGGCUUAGAUACCCUGGUAGUCCACGCUGUAAACGGUGGGUACUAGGUGUGGGGUCCAUUCCACGGGUUCCGUGCCGUAGCUAACGCUUUAAGUACCCCGCCUGGGGAGUACGGCCGCAAGGCUAAAACUCAAAGGAAUUGACGGGGCCCCGCACAAGCGGCGGAGCAUGCGGAUUAAUUCGAUGCAACGCGUAGAACCUUACCUGGGUUUGACAUGGAUCGGGAGUGCUCAGAGAUGGGUGUGCCUCUUUUGGGGUCGGUUCACAGGUGGUGCAUGGCUGUCGUCAGCUCGUGUCGUGAGAUGUUGGGUUAAGUCCCGCAACGAGCGCAACCCUUGUUCACUGUUGCCAGCACGUUAUGGUGGGGACUCAGUGGAGACCGCCGGGGUCAACUCGGAGGAAGGUGGGGAUGACGUCAAGUCAUCAUGCCCCUUAUGUCCAGGGCUUCACGCAUGCUACAAUGGCUGGUACAGAGAGUGGCGAGCCUGUGAGGGUGAGCGAAUCUCGGAAAGCCGGUCUCAGUUCGGAUUGGGGUCUGCAACUCGACCUCAUGAAGUCGGAGUCGCUAGUAAUCGCAGAUCAGCAACGCUGCGGUGAAUAAGUUCCCGGG
rnacentral:rRNA from 1 species